rnacentral:rRNA from 1 species
CGGACGGGUGAGUAAUGUGUAGAGAAUCUGCCCGUAGAAGUGGGGGACAACAGUUGGAAACGACUGCUAAUACCGCAUAUGCGCGUAGCUGAGAAGCUAUUCGUGAAAACUCCGGUGCUCUGGGAUGAGUCUGCAUCUGAUUAGGCUAGUUGGGGGUGUAAUGGACCACCAAGGCGACGAUCAGUAGCUGGUUUGAGAGGAUGAUCAGCCACAAUGGGACUGAGACACGGCCCAUACUCCUACGGGAGGCAGCAGUAGGGAAUUUUUGCGCAAUGGGGGGAACCCUGACGCAGCAACGCCGCGUGAUUGAAUAAGCCCUUCGGGGGUGUAAAGAUCUGUCAGUGGGGACGAAACUUGACGGUACCCACAGAGGAAGCAUCGGCUAACUCCGUGCCAGCCGCCGC